rnacentral:rRNA from 1 species
UGAGGAAUAUUGGUCAAUGGGCGAGAGCCUGAACCAGCCAAGUAGCGUGCAGGAUGACGGCCCUAUGGGUUGUAAACUGCUUUUAUGUGGGGAUAAAGUGCGUGACGUGUCAUGCAUUGCAGGUACCACAUGAAUAAGGACCGGCUAAUUCCGUGCCAGCAGCCGCGGUAAUACGGAAGGUCCGGGCGUUAUCCGGAUUUAUUGGGUUUAAAGGGAGCGUAGGCUGUCUAUUAAGCGUGUUGUGAAAUUUACCGGCUCAACCGGUGGCUUGCAGCGCGAACUGGUCGACUUGAAGGCGCACAACGUAGGCGGAAUUCAUGGUGUAGCGGUGAAAUGCUUAGAUAUCAUGAAGAACACCGAUUGCGAAGGCAGCUUACGGGAGCGCAACUGACGCUGAAGCUCGAAGGUGCGGGUAUCGAACAGG